CCUUCGAUAGCUCAGCUGGUAGAGCGGAGGACUGUAGUGGGUCUUCCUGCUGAUAUCCUUAGGUCGCUGGUUCGAUUCCGGCUCGAAGGA
rnacentral:tRNA from 1 species